rnacentral:rRNA from 1 species
GACGAACGCUGGCGGCGUGCUUAACACAUGCAAGUCGAACGGAAAGGCCCUGCUUUUGUGGGGUGCUCGAGUGGCGAACGGGUGAGUAACACGUGAGUAACCUGCCCUUGACUUUGGGAUAACUUCAGGAAACUGGGGCUAAUACCGGAUAGGAGCUCCUGCUGCAUGGUGGGGGUUGGAAAGUUUCGGCGGUUGGGGAUGGACUCGCGGCUUAUCAGCUUGUUGGUGGGGUAGUGGCUUACCAAGGCUUUGACGGGUAGCCGGCCUGAGAGGGUGACCAGCCACAUUGGGACUGAGAUACGGCCCAGACUCCUACGGGAGGCAGCAGUGGGGAAUAUUGGACAAUGGGCGGAAGCCUGAUGCAGCAACGCCGCGUGCGGGAUGACGGCCUUCGGGUUGUAAACCGCUUUCGCCUGUGACGAAGCGUGAGUGACGGUAAUGGGUAAAGAAGCACCGGCUAACUACGUG